GGAAGGAUCAUUAGUGAAUGAACUUGGUCAGGUUGUUGCUGGCCCUUUGGGGCAUGUGCACACCUCGACUCUCGUUUCCAUCUCCCAUGUGCACUUUCUGUAGACUCGGAAGAACUCGAGAGAGUGAUCUCGACAGUUUUGUGGGAUUGCUGCUGCUUUCUCAUGUGAAAGCCAGCUCUCCCGUUGUAUUCCAGUCUAUGUUUUCUUUCAUAUACUCUGAAAUGUACAAGAAUGUUCAUUCAGGCUUUCAAUGCCUUGAUAAAUACAUACAACUUUCAACAACGGAUCUCUUGGCUCUCGCAUCGAUGAAGAACGCAGCGAAAUGCGAUAAGUAAUGUGAAUUGCAGAAUUCAGUGAAUCAUCGAAUCUUUGAACGCACCUUGCGCUCCUUGGUAUUCCGAGGAGCAUGCCUGUUUGAGUGUCAUGAAAUUCUCAACCUUUCUUGCUUUUUGUCUGAAAGGAUUGGAUGUGGAAGAUUGCGGGCUUUGUUCAGAGGCCAGCUCUUCUGAAAUGCAUUAGCAGGACUCCAUCGUCUUACCAGCCUUGGUAUGAUAAACUAUCUAUGCCUUUGCUGGUAAACGGCUACUUUGUAGUGUGAGUUCAGCUCCCCAGUCGUCCCUCAAAGGGACAGCUUUUUGACAGUCUUUGACCUCAAAUCAGGUAGGACUACCCGCUGAACUUAAGCAUAUCAAUAAGCGGAGGAAAAGAAACUAACAAGGAUUCCCCUAGUAACUGCGAGUGAAGCGGGAAGAGCUCAAAUUUAAAAUCUGGCAGCCUUUGGCUGUCCGAGUUGUAAUCUAGAGAAGUGUUAUCCGCGCUGGACCGUGUACAAGUCUCCUGGAAUGGAGCGUCAUAGAGGGUGAGAAUCCCGUCUCUGACACGGACUCCCAGGGCAUUGUGAUGCGCUCUCAAAGAGUCGAGUUGUUUGGGAAUGCAGCUCUAAAUGGGUGGUAAAUUCCAUCUAAAGCUAAAUAUUGGCGAGAGACCGAUAGCGAACAAGUACCGUGAGGGAAAGAUGAAAAGAACUUUGGAAAGAGAGUUAAACAGUACGUGAAAUUGUUGAAAGGGAAACGCUUGAAGUCAGUCACAUUGGCUGGGGAUCAACCUUGCUUCUGCUUGGUGUACUUCCUAGUCGAUGGGCCAGCAUCAAUUUUGACCAGUGGAUAAAGGUCAGAGGAAUGUGGCAUCUCCGGAUGUGUUAUAGCCUCUGGUUGUAUACGCUGGUUGGGAUUGAGGAACUCGGCACGCCGCAAGGCCGGGUUUCGACCACGACCGUGCUUAGGAUGCUGGCAUAAUGGCUUUAAUCGACCCGUCUUGAAACACGGACCAAGGAGUCUAACAUGCCUGCGAGUAUUUGGGUGGAAAACCCAUGUGCGCAAUGAAAGUAAAGAUCAGGAUCUCUGUCGUGGAGAGCACUGAUGCCCGGACCAGACCUUUUGUGACGGAUCUGCGGUAGAGCAUGCAUGUUGGGACCCGAAAGAUGGUGAACUAUGCCUGAAUAGGGUGAAGCCAGAGGAAACUCUGGUGGAGGCUCGUAGCGAUUCUGACGUGCAAAUCGAUCGUCAAAUUUGGGUAUAGGGGCGAAAGACUAAUCGAACCAUCUAGUAGCUGGUUCCUGC
rnacentral:misc_RNA from 1 species